rnacentral:lncRNA from 1 species
GUUUGGAUUCUCUCUGCCUGACCCAAGGCAGACAUCCGUUCCCUCUGGCCGUUGGUACUCCUGGUUCUCAGGGAUUCAGACUCUGACUGGCGUCCACUCCAUUGGAUCCCGGCCCUCAGGUCUUGGAACUUGCACUGCCAGCAUUCCUGGGUGUCCGGCUUGCGGACAGCAGAUCGUGGGACUUCUCAGCCUCCAGAAUUGCACGAAGUGUCUCCUUACGAAUCUCUUCCUAUGUACGUGUAUCCUAUUGGCUCUGUUUCUCUGCAGAACCCUGACUAAUGCAAACCCUCUCAUCUCACAGCAGUGCAUGUACAAACCCACUCACAUCUUCCCCUCCCCUGCCUUCCCUACCGCAAGUUCCCUCCGACCAGAGGCCAAUCCCGCUGCGGUGCCCCGGACCCACCCUCUGCACCAGCCUUCCUUCUUGUUUUCUAAAAGCUCGCGUUUUCUGUGGGCUUCCAAGGCUGCUCUUCAGUAUCUUUACGUCAGAGCCUCCCAGCUCCUUCCCCUCUCUCAAAAGCGUUUUCACAGGGACUGUAGGCUCCUUCCCUCCCCUUGAUAACCAAGUACUAUGCCCCAGGUUCUUACCUCACAGCCCAAAGUUGUCCUAAGUCGGGCCCUGACCUGAGUGUCUCCAAAUCCAGCAGGCCGUCUGCUCUCCUGUGACAUGCAGCAUCCCACGGCUUUUCCUAAAAGACCCCCUCUGUCAGCUUUGCUGUCACCCACCCUCCAGGGCUCUCUCUUACAGGUCUGCCCUUUGCUAGCAUCUUAGCCUCUCCACCUCCCGGUGGUCCUGUCUGCGAUGGACCCCCUCCAUGUGUCCCAAGGCCCUCCAAAGGAACAGGUCUGUAUCAGGUGCAAUUAGAUUGAGGUGCAAUGCAAGGGCUUGAAUUGCAGAGAGGUUCAUUUUUCUUUUUGUAGAAAAGUCUGGGACCAGCUGUCAGAGACUGAUUUGGCCACUCCAUGGUCACCAGGACCAGGCUGUGUCCAUCUUUUCUGUUCUGACCUUUUUCACAUGGGCCAUUGUCCAUGUCACCGCUGGUCACCAGCUGCAGCAGUCGCAUUCUUGCUCCGGGCAGCAGGAAGAAGGUGAGACCAGAAGGCAGAGGGGGCUGGUCCUGCCUGGUCAGCCCCCAGGGGGCUUUGCCCAGACACCCCUUCCCCACCCAUGGCUCUGCUGAUUUCUCUAUAGCUGCCACCCUCUGAAAAGGGAGCUGGCAGAGUAGUUCUUAGACAUGGCACCUGGCCACCUCUGUGGCUGAAGAAGAAGGGGGUUGAGGAUUGGGGUACACACCUGUCAGUCUCCAUGCAAUGCCCCAAAGUGGACCACUGACCCCACACCACGCUGUUCUCCUCUGAGUUUUCUCACCUCUGUCCAAAUGGCUGCAGAAGCCAAAAGCCCCAGAGCCCAGCUCCCCUUCCCUCCUUUCUCUUCCAUCCUUCCAUCCUUCCAUGAGCCUGCCCCUCAUCCUCCUCAGGGCUGGAACUGGCUGCCGGAUUCCUCCCUGGCUCCGUGGGGGCUGGCUCAGCAAUCUGAGCUGCCGAUGGCUCUGUGGUCCAGCUGGGAGGAUUCAUGCCCCAUUGGGGCUGAGAGGAAUGAGGUGAGGGCUGUGGGGUUUGCCCAGAAUCUCCUGAAAUAUCGGGCCCAGGAACUACAGCAGGACUCUCAUUCCGCCUUCUGGCCACUGUUGGGGGUGACACUGGCAGGAUCCAGGGGCUCUGGAAAGCUCCAGGGGAAAUUUGAGGCAUAACCCAGCUUCUCUGAGACGGAACUCAGGGAGGAUCCAGCUCAAUCCUACAGAGGCGACCCCAAGGAAGGACCUGCCCAGGGUCACUUGGAGAGCUGGGCGGGAGGAGGGAGAAACCUCCCCCGUUCAGAGUGACAAAGCCCCCCUUGCCUCAGGGAUGGCUGAGAUCCAAGUCCUCAAAACACGCCGCCAUCUGGAGGGUGUGAGAGCGAGGUCCGUCCUCAGCAUGGACGCUGCAGUGCACACUGUUCCGUGCCAGGUGCUGGCUGACCCUGCCCUGUGGGAGGUGAUGGACAGGCACACAGGGGGAGCCCCGCAAACAAGGGGCCCUGUUACAGCAGAGUGGGAGAGCGCCUGGUAGGACGCCAAGCACCGUGGCCGGGCUGCAGAGAGGCCUGCGGGACUUGUAGACAAGACGUCAUGGAGAAGGCGGAGCUCCCAUGGGCCUUGCAGGUUUCACCAAGCAAGAGCGGAGAAGACACAGGGUGGACCCUCUCCAUCAAGGGUCGCUGCAGGGAGGCAGGGCGAAGACGGGACGGGGAGAUGGUGGGUAUGGAGGGACAAGGGCAGAGAACUGGGCAGCCUAGGGCAGGCUCACCCUCAGACAGGCUGGCAGAAAGGGGUUGCCAGGCUGGCAGAAGAGGGGUCACCAGCAAAGCAGGAGUGGGCAGAGGCAAGAGGCACAGAAGGCAGAGGCCGUUCUGCCGCAGUGCAGCAUCCGAUCAGCGGCUGGUCAGCAGCUGGAGGCUACUCUCCUCUACUCCACAGGUCCAGUUGCUCUUCAGAACUCAAAAUCCCAUCUCUGCAGGUCUCAGCCAAUCCUGCUCCCGCCUGUUUUUAUUUCCUGCCCAGAGCAAGUACAGAACCGAGGGCCAUCGAUGGGCGAGAAAUCACUGUGCCUCCAAGCUGUAUUUUUCACCGUAACAAGUCAUUACUUCUGUGCCCGGAGUCAUUUCUCAGGAUCUUAAUGCAUUCGUUUAUCAAUCAAUACUUAACUGAUGUCUAUAAAGCAUGUUCAAAAUCAGAGGUGAGAGCAGCUCACCAGGUACCGACUUCGUGUCUGGAGCCACCUUGUUAAGGAGCAACCCUUGGCACGGGUCCCGUGUCUGCACCCUCGGGAGCUCUGGGUGGGUGCACUGGGGUCCUCACAGCCCUUCCCACCACCGCAGAUGGAAAUCUCUACCUGGCAGAGGGGCUCAGUCGUCCCCACCUGGGAGUCUGGGGCCUACCGGCAGCAGAAGGUGCAGUGGCCAAACACAGAGACAUUUCUAUCAUCAGACCUGGUCCCCAGCCUGACUCUGCUGCCCACUUACCCCUGGCCAGGGCGAGUUCAUCGACUGUGCCGAGCCUGGCUGCUUCUCCAGCCUAACAGGAGUCCCCGUCUCGACAGGACUGAGUGGGGUGAAUGCAGCCAAGUGCUCAGCAGAGACUGUCCCACCGGGAAGUGUUCACAAAUAUGGGCUGUUGAACCUGCUGUUGUUAGAUCUAGAUCCAGUUCUGCGACCACGUUCAUGACUUAGAUCAUAACUGAAGUGCGGGCCAGCCGAGGCCGGGCCGUUUAGGGGUUUGGCUGCUAAUUCAAGAAGGACACCUGGGUUUGGAUCCCAGAGUUCCCUCCAGACCCAGAUGUGGCCUCAGGCAGGUGAUGAGCCUGGAGAUGCGGUUUCAUUUUCUGCAGGGUGGUCAAAGGAGAUCUCAGGCUUGUAGGAGACAAAGCACAUCGCCCCGAACUGCUCAGGAGGCGCAGAUUACAGCCACCCUCCUUAUCCACCCCGUCUCCCAUCACAGCCCUCAUGAGUGCUCAAGCAAGGCUCAGGGCCUGAUGGACGUGGCUGCCUCCUCCUAGAGGACAGGCAUGUCUCGGCUGCCUGCACCAGCCAGCGGCCCUUCUCCCCGGCCAGGAGAUCCUCCAAGGAAGGCCAAGGGCCAAGCAGGUAGGCUAGGGAUGGGCUCUGGUACAUGGGCCCCAUUCCCAUGAUUGGAAACUUCCCAGGCGCCAUUUGUCACCUUGACUCGCUGUUUCAAGCCCGGCUCUCCCUGGGGCGCCAGGAGUGGGCCCAGGCCCUUCCGACAGCCGGCCUGCAGCUGUGCUGGUGACUGAUUGGGGAUGAGGCCACUGUCCCUGCCUUCCUGGGAGCCAGGAUGUUGAUUGAAUGGCCAUUUCACUCUCUCCAACAAGCAAGUAACAGUGUAAACUGGGGUCUAAUUUAUCAAAAACAGUCGCUUGUAUUCUGCGUGGCCCAUGUUCUGGGCUGAAACAGCCGCUACCCAGCUCCUGGCCCACGUGCGUGCGAUUUCCUGAUAUUUCAGUUUUAUGGAAGACAUCUCACUGACGAAUGUCUCUUAGUGAACGAUCAUUCUGGAAGCUAUUUUGCCUUCAAAGAGGCUUCUCCUGGAAUGGGCUGGGAGGGGCGGGCACCGUGUUAUAUAUAAAUUCACUGCCAGGAGCGCCCAGCAGGGGAGGGAAUGAGAUCGGCAGGAGAUGAGAAUGAAAUGUGUGCGGCUGCAGCCAAGCCUGUCCUCCCUGUCACCGUCCGAGGGCUGCUGGGAUGGGCGGGAAGGCCAGAUGUGGGACAGGUGGCCCAAGUGACGCCCCCAGCUUCACCACCUGCCACUGCCUGGCCUUGGGCAGCUCACUCCCUCUGGGAGCCUGGGCUUCUCACGGGGCAUAAUGAUUUACAAAUUGCUGCCACUUCUCUGCUUGCUCUCGACCAUCAUUACACGUCAGGCAGGGCUGGGACUGGAGGCUGAGCUGUGUCCCAGCUACGGGUGACCGUGCCAGAGCUGCCAGGGAUCCUGAGGCACAAUGAGAGCCUUCCUUCCACCCACCGUGCGCUUUCUGCCUGUGAUGUGGCCGAGACAUCGCAGGCUGUGGGGUCCUCAGCGCUCAGGCUCCCUGUACUCUCUCUCCCUGCAUACCUGGACCUCCGUUCUCUCUUGCUGGAGGCCUAGAAAAAGUCCCUGGAAUGAAAUCACUCAGGCUCUGGUGCAGACACUGGCACCGCCUGUCCAGGGGGCCCCGGAUAAGUCCCUCCCACUCUCUGGACUCAGGGGCCAUGUCUGCAAAUGAGGCUGGAAAACGAGAUGGUCCCUACAAGGCCCUCUGGUACCUGGAGGGACUGAGUGUCCCAGCCUGGGCCCUGCAGCAGCCCUUCCAUAUCAUGCAUGCAAGGGACUCUGAAUCCCAACCCCACCAUUAGAAGGGCCGCUGUCAGCCAAGAACAGGAUCGUCAUCCCCUCCGUCCCCUGCACAACGGAGCAUAGCUGCCCCUUUCUACCAUCUUUGUUCUAGGUUGAGGUUCUCAAAGGGGAGUCCCAGGCCAGCAGCAUCAGUCCCACCUUGUAGUGUGCUAGAAAUGCAGAUUCUCAGGCCCCUCUGCGGUCUAUAGAAUUCAGAAGUCAGGUGCUGGGGCCCAGGAAUCUACUUUAACAGGCUGCAUUUUCUGCAGCUGCUGGAGCAGAUGACCACAAACUCAGUGACUGCAGAGUGCACGCGCUCAUCACCUUACAGUUGUGUAGGCUGGGAUCCCACUGGGCUAAGACCAAGGUGUUGGGAGGCUGCGUUUCUUGCUGGAUGCUGUAAGGGAGAAGUCGUUUCCUCGUGUUUUUUUAACUUCCUUGGCCCACGGACCUUCCUCCACCUUCAAAGCCAGCAGCCUCGCGUCUUCUGACCUUCCAUUGUCACAUCGUCAUCUGACCCACGUAAGGACCCGUGUGAUUAGGGUGGGCGCACCCGGGUAAUCUUCCCAUCUCAAAGUCCUUGACUGAAUCACAUCUGCAAAGUCCCCUUUGCUACGUAAGGUCACAUGUUCACAAGAUCCAGGGAUUAGGACUUGGACAUUUUUGGAAGCCCAUUGUCCUGCCAACAGCACAAGACCUCCAGGUGAUCCUGAUGUGUAACGCACAGUGAGAGACAAAUGCUCUGAUGGACCAUCAACAGCAGAACGUAAGCAGGGAGAGGGACCCCGCCUUCCUCCCCAAUCUGGCCCUGUGCCUAGCAAAUUAUAGAACUUUUGUAAGCAAAUGAGUUCAUUUGUGAAUAAAUGAACGACCGGUGAGACGAAGAGCUGGGCGUAGCAGCCACAGGUGGGGCUGCCAAAUAAAAUGCAAGAUGCGUGGUUAAAUCUGAAUUUCAGAUAAAUAACAAGUACUUAUGUUUUUGGGGGUUUUUUUGUUUUUUUGUUUUUUUUUUGAGAUGGAGUCUCGUUCUGUCGCCCAGGCUGGAGUGCAGUGGUGUGAUCUUGCCUCACUGCAAGCUCCACCUCCCGGGUUCAAGUGAUUCUCCUGCCUCAGCCUCCUGAGUAGCUGGGAUUACAGGCAUGUGCCACCAUGCCUGGCUAAUUUUUGUAUUUUUAAUAGAGACGGGGUUUCACCAUGUUGGUCAGGCUUGUCUUGAACUCUUGACCUCAGGUGAUCCACCCGCCUCGGCCUCCCAAAGUGCUGGGAUUACAGGCAUGAGCCACCACACCUGGUAACAAGUAGUUUUUUACUACCAGUGUGCCUCUAACAAUAUUUGAGAUAUACUAAAAAAAAAAGUUGUUUUUUAUCUGAAAUUCAAAUUUAGCUGAUAUCCUGUAUUUUUCUUUGUCAAAUGUGGCUUCUCUAAGCAUCAGUCCAGCCAUGGCCCAGGUGGUGAACCUGGAAAUUCAUUCCUCCCUCCAGAACUCUGUUUCCCUGCUCAGUGUUCUAGAAAGCAUCCCCUUCUCUGGCAAACCCUGUCCAAUCUCUCAGGGAAGAUGAGGCCUCCUUCCUCUUCCUGUCCUCCGUUAAUCGAUAUUCCCACCCCAACCCCUCCUAGAAUUUGGUGAUCUGGGGUCUGAAGUCUUCUACCAGGAGCUCAAGCUGAUGGGCUGAGAAGCCCAGUUCUGACGUGAAUUCUGCACCCCUCCUUCGGGAACAAGGAAGACCCAAGCUUGCUUAUCUCUAGAUCCUGCGGGGGGCUUUUGAGAAUCCCUAGUUUUGAGGCUGUGGGAUGGAGCUGCAUGGGAGAGCCAGGAGGAAGACCCUGGCACAGCACGCUCUGAGUAUGGGGUUGCUGCUGGCCCACCCUGUUCCCUCCACACUCUGGAGGAUGUGGAGUGGACGCCAUCAGGGUGCAGCCAUGCAGAACGGCUGGGUCUGUCCCUGUGUCCUCACGCACAGAGCUCUGGAAGGCAGGCAGACGUCCUCACACAUCUGUGAGCCAAAAGGCAAAAAACAAAAGAAGCAAACAAAAAAAUCCACUCCGAUGUUCUUAUGCUUAUGGGUUCUACAGACUUGCAUAUACAUAAUGUAAUGAAAAUUCUUGAUUUCAUCUUCAGAGACAUAAAUGGAAGAAAAUGUACAUAAAAGAGAGUCCACUUAAACAUGUGAUCCUCUCAAAGGAAGAAAAGAACAGGGCUCACUCAUCCACAUCAACCCGGUGAGGCCCGGACACCCCCCACCUCUUCUGCUUAGAGCCCUAUUAUCCUUUGAUCUCCCUAAUAAUGUGUUUCUUUCCUGGUAAUAGGUUUUCAUCAUCCUCACAGCCUAUUGAUUAGAACUCUUUUCCAGGGUUUUGAGAUAUUGGCUAAAAUAAGGGAUGAAAUGAUUCAGUCUUCAGGUGAUGUUUCAAAGGAGGCGUGUUCGUAAUGUCCUCCCGCGACGAGGGACCUGGCCAAGAGAAACUACGCAGGAGGCCCAGAAGGCAGAGCCUGCUCCAGGUCGGCCUCACUGCUGUCCCUUCUGACCUCUCGACAUUUUGGUUUUGGCAUGGUGAAUGGGGCUACCACAGUGGGCCAGCCAGCAUGACCCCCUGACCAGACCUGGAGGCAGGCAGAGGAAAGGAGAGGGCCAGGGAUGGGUGGGUGGCCGGGUGUGUGCCGUUUGCUGAAGUUGAGGCACUGUGGUUCCUGGAAUCCUCAGCCCAGGGACUUCUAAGACACAUCUCUAAGACACAAACAAGAUCUACACCUCUAAGAGGGAAGGAAUGACCGGCCCAUCGCAGGCUGUCUUCGACUGUUGGGGCUCCCAUGACAAAAUGCCAUAGACUUAGGGGCCGAUGAACAACAGCCAUUGGUUUCCCACAGUUCUGGAGGCUAGAAGUCCAAGAGCAAGGCUCCAGCAGAACGUCUGGUGAGGGCCGCUUCCUGAUUCAUAGACGGCACCUCUUUGCUGUGUCCCCGCCUGGUAGAGGGCUGAGGGAUCUCCCUCAGAACUCUUUUAAAAGGGCACUCUCCUCAUUCACCAGUGUUCCACCCUCAGGACCUAAUCACCUCCCAAGGGCCCCACCUUUUAAUACUAUUUAAUACCAUUGCAUUAAGGAUUAGGUUUCAACAUGUGAAACUGCAGGACACACACACUCAGCCCAUAGCAGAUGCCCUGAAGGGGCUGUGAAGUGUCGUGAGUAGAGCCCCAGGAAUGGAGGGUUCUGGAGGGGCACAUAGGUCCAACAGAGCGCAGGCAUAAGGUGGGAAGCCAGAGGGGGCUGUGUGGGCCGGACUGGGUCAAAUCAGGAGGCCUGGAGAUGCCUGGUGAGGAGCCCCGGUCCCACGAUGUAGGGGGCCUGUCGGCACAGGAGUGUAGGCCACGGGCUUGUGGGCAGCCUCCCUCAGGAGGGUGUGGGGCUGAUGAGCAGGUGUGGGCGCAGGUGCAUGCAUCAGGACGUGUCCCCUGCGGAAGCAGCUCCUGUAGGAUCACCUCCUCCACCAGCGACCAGGAAGGACAUUGCAUUUAGACUCUAGGUGAGUCCAGCUUCACUCAUCGCCAGCUGAGGCCUCAUUUUCUCAUCUCUAAGACAUAAACAACCACCCCCUCUUCCCAGGAACACACACACACACGCGCGCGCACACACGUGGUUCUGCGGCUCAUAACUAAAUGUAAUGAAAGGUAAACUAAAGUGCCCCUCCAUGGAAAUCGACCCCAAUUCAGCCUCUAAUCCUGAGAUGCAAGAUUCAGAACCAGUAUGUCAAGGAAAAGUGUUUCUCUGCAUUGAUCCUCGAGGAUACUAAAUGUAUAUUUUAAAAAAUAAAUUCUGUCCCAAGUGUUUGGUGAGACAGAGAGAGAAGCAGCCGCUUCUGAAGUGAGCACAAGGACGUGGCUUUUCUGGAGGCUUCCUCAUUGCAGGACCCAUCCAUCACCUUCAGGGGUUCGAUGAAACCGUUGCAAAUAUGAUCAAUCAUCUUUUUAUUGAAUUAAGACAAAUGGCUGGUUAUUAAUAGGCUAAGACUUAAUGAGGAAAAUGGAUAAUGCCGCACAGGGAAAAGGCAAAGAACUGUGCACACAGCCUCUGCACUUUUUCUAGAAAGAUCUGGAAGUGUCUUCAGUGAGAAAAGCCCCGGGCUGGAUGACCUCUUUGAUUCACACUAAGGACUCAAGGAAGCAAAAACUCCUAGGUUGACCCUUUCUCCACCACCUUCUAUCUGUGUGAUCUUCAGGCAGUGACUUGACCUCUCUGAACUUCUGUCUCUUCACAAAGGUGCUUGGCUUAUGAUGUUGUGCCUGGCAGACGCAGACUGAGAGAAGCAGAGUCCUGGCCUCCAAAAUCUGAGUUGUGUGUGGGACAGAAUGGUGUGCUUCACCUGCGGUUCUGAGGGGGCCGGCGGGAUCAGAUGCUGGCACAGGACAUGGGAAGGGGGUGCGUGUGGGGCAGAGCCGUGCAGCAGGUGCACAGCUGUGCAAGGUCCCCUGAUGGGCCCUCUCUGCUCCAUGUUUCCAGAAAUCCUUGGAAAGGAGCUCAAGUGGCACAGUAUCUGGAGCGUGUUGUGGACUUGGUUGGGAUGCCUGGUGUCUGUUUAUGGCAGCACUUCUGGGGAAACAGAUUGUGUUUAUGUCAGAAAGAAAAGACCAUGUUUCGGGGCAAUCCCUGCAGCUCGUUAGGUCAAAUCAACACCCCCAGCCCAUCUGCCUCCGCAGGGUGCCUCGGCCCCACUCAGUGCCGGCAGACAGGAGCCUCCCAGGGAGCAGCCGAGCUCCAGGGCGGGGGAGCCACCACCGAGCACAAUAGCCAAUCAGCCCCUUCCUAGAAGCAAGUCAGGCUGCCCGGCGUGCUUUCUGUCUGUCGUUCCUGCAGCCUCCACGGGCACCGGCCCAGGUGGUCCCUGGCUGGAUGGUCAGAACUCAGAGCUGUGAGCUGUGGCUGCUGAUUCCCUCCUGAACAACAGGGUCUAGGGAGACAGGCAGACACAGAAACCUCAAGUGAAGUGGGGGCUGCGGGCUGGGGGUGCUGCACGGGGCAGUCAGGGGCACAGCAAAGAGGACGUGACCUCAGGUCCUCGGCAGCAGGGAGGGAAGGCAUGGAGUACAUGCUUUCCUCUGGGAAACACUCAUAUCCGAUUCACAUGAUAUUGUCCGCAGUGCUGAGCCUGGCAGACCUACAUCUUCAUCUUUUUGGUGCGUUAAUGAGGAUUUUUAUUUCUUCUUUAAUGAUUAAUUCCUAAAAUUAUAAUACUUAUGUGAAUAGUACCAAUGCUUAAUAUUUUUGAUAAAAAUUUAAAAAUUGAGCUCCAAAAGGGAUUCACCAAUUAAUAUUUCCAUCAUCAUUAUGCAGAAGUUGCUAUUUACUCACAUCCUUAAUUAUAGAGGAAAGUAUCAAUGAAUGUUUACCAAUUUAAUGACUCAAAUAUUUUCAUAUCUAUAUUUCUCCAUUAUUAGUGACAUUGUGCACUUUUACUUAUGUGUAUUGACGAUUUGUACUUUUACUCUGUGAAUUUCUUUUUCUCUUCUUUUUUUCAACUUUUAUUUUAGAAUUGGAGAGUACAUGUGCAGGUUUGUUAUGAAGUUAUAUUGCGUGAUGCUGAGGUUUGGAGCAUGAGUGAAUCUGUUACCCAGGUACUGAGCAUAGUACCCAAUAGGUAGUUUUCUUUCUACCUUGCCCCCAGGAGUCCCCAGUAUCUAUUUUUCCCAUCUUUGUGUCCAUCUGUACCUAAUGUUUAUCUCCCACUUACAAGUGAGAAAACGUGGUAUUUGGUUUUCUGUUCCUGCAUUAAUUUGCUUAGGAUAAAAGUUUCUAGCUGCAUCCAUGUUGCUGUGAAGGACAUGGUUCCAUUCUUUUUCAUGGCUGUGUAGUAUUCCACGGUGUCUGUGGGUUUUUUUUAAAGGUUGUUUUUGAAGAAUACUUGACAACAUGGAGAAAUUCUCAAUGCGUGAAAAAAAAGUAAAAGGAAAGUAAAAGGGAACAGAAGUAUAUAUAAAGCAUGUUCCAAUAUUGUCCAAAAAUAUUAUUAUUGAUUAUCUGGGAGAAGUUUAUGGGUAUUUAUGCUUUUUUCCAUCUUUGAAAAAUACUCUGAGAAUAUGCAUUAGUUUUAUGAGGAAAGUGCAUGUUAUAAAGCCUAAAGAUGAAUUGUGUCUCCCCACAAAAGAUAGGUUGAGGGACUCAGCCUGUGGCCUGAUUUGGAAGCAGGGUCACUACAGAUGGAAUUAGUUGAGGUGAGGUCGUCCUGGAGUAGGUGAACUCCAAUCCAAGAUGACUCAUGUUUUUGCCAG